rnacentral:tRNA from 4 species
GCUGACAUAGCUCAGUGGUAGAGCACUUCCUUGGUAAGGAAGAGGUCCCGGGUUCAAGUCCCGGUGUCAGCU